rnacentral:rRNA from 1 species
UACGUAGGUCCCGAGCGUUGUCCGGAUUUAUUGGGCGUAAGGCGAGCGCAGGUGGUUUAUUAAGUCUGAUGUAAAAGGCAGUGGCUCAACCAUUGUAUGCAUUGGAAACUGGUAGACUUGAGUGCAGGAGAGGAGAGUGGAAUUCCAUGUGUAGCGGUGAAAUGCGUAGAUAUAUGGAGGAACACCGGUGGCGAAAGCGGCUCUCUGGCCUGUAACUGACACUGAGGCUCGAAAGCGUGGGGAGCAAACAGG